rnacentral:tRNA from 1 species
CAGAAAAUAGUUUAUUUAAAAACAUUAAUUUUGGAGAUUAAAAAUACAUAUGUUUUUCUGA